rnacentral:lncRNA from 1 species
AGAUGGAAUGAAGCAAAGACAGAUGCUUUAGGGGCAAGGAGGGUGGGAGUGGAUUCUAAAUGGGCUUGUCUCAUGAGCCCAAACUCACCUCCACAGAGGUGCUUCUUAGAGCGAGGAGCUCGAGAGGCAGACGGAGGGGCUCCACCUUUGGGCUCUCGGGCGUGGUCUGUGAGGGGCCAGAGGCUGAAGGCCUGUGUCUCCUGGGCAGGAGGAGAAACCCUGCUCCCUCCGCAGGGGCUGAUGCAGGUUGCCCAGGGGGUUGCCCAGCCAGCCUGCCCUCACCUGGCUCCUGCGUCCGGGGCAGUGGGCAGCCAGUCCCCUACACUGACGACCUUGUGACAGCAGCCAGGCAAGUUUUGGUCCCUAGCGAGGAGCUCCUUUCAAUUUUGUGGAUUGACAAGAUACAAUGGAAAAAGCACUCGAGCUUUGCCGUGAACAGGAGACUGGUUCUAAGGAGAACACUGAAUGAGUCACUUUUUCUUUUUGCACCACGGAGGAAAAGUAACUACCUGUUUGAAUGUCUUCGUUCAAGCCUAGCUGUUCCCAUAUCUGUAAUGUGGAGAUGAUGACGGAGACGCUGCCGGCCCAUCAGUGUCGUGUGGGCAGUCCCUGAAGUGAGGAACCGGGAGAACCCGCUCCUUACUGGACAUUCCUUUUAUGAGCACUGCGACUUCAUCUCUCAGACGCUGGAUGCUACUGGCAGGAAACAAGCCAAAAGAAGGAAUUCUUGUUCUCCUUCAGGGAAACGCUUUCACGGUGGCGACUCUUUCUACAUGUAAAUUAAUGGAACUUUUGCUACAGUUUCUUUCUCUCUUUCUUUCUUUUUCGUACUAACAACUUAAAACUAAAAUGAACUGAGUUGUGUGAAUGGUCUGAAGGGUCAAUUCUUCGCAUAGGUGCCCAUUUGGGAGCAAUGUGCAGUGUGUUUUAAAAUUGUUUUCAAUAAUUUGUUUUGGU